rnacentral:rRNA from 1 species
UACAGAGGGUGCAAGCGUUGUUCGGAAUUAUUGGGCGUAAAGGGCGCGUAGGCGGCGCGACAAGUCACCUGUGAAAUCUCCGAGCUUAACUCGGAGCCUGCAGGCGAAACUGUCGUGCUGGAGUAUGGGAGAGGUGCGUGGAAUUCCCGGUGUAGUGGUGAAAUGCGUAGAGAUCGGGAGGAACACCCGUGGCGCAGGCGGCCCCCUGGGCCGGGCCUGACGCUGAGACGCGAAAGCGUGGGGAGCGAACGGG